rnacentral:misc_RNA from 1 species
GAUGAAGAACGUAGCGAAAUGCGAUACUUGGUGUGAAUUGCAGAAUCCCGUGAACCAUCGAGUCUUUGAACGCAAGUUGCGCCCGAAGCCAUUAGGCCGAGGGCACGCCUGCCUGGGCGUCACACGUCGUUGCCCCCCCAUCUACUCCUUCGGGAUUGCGGGGGGCGGAUGAUGGCCUCCCGUGCGCCUCGUCGCGCGGUUGGCAUAAAUGCCAAGUCCUCGGCGACGCACGCCACGACAAUCGGUGGUUGCGAAACCUCGGUUGCCCGUCGUGUGCGGUCGUCGCGCAUCGAGGGCUCGAAAAAAUUGCCGGGCUCCGGCUCGGCUUUCAACGCGACCCCAGGUCAGGCGGGGUUACCCGCUGAAUUUAAGCAUAUCAAUAAGCGA